rnacentral:rRNA from 1 species
UACGAGUGCCCCAAGCGUUAUCCGGAAUCACUGGGCGUAAAGGGUGUGUAGGCGGUCAUGUUAGUCUCAUGUCAAAUUCUUCGGCUUAACCGGGGUUCCGCAUGGGAAACGGCAUGACUAGAGGAUGCGAGGGGUGUGUGGAACUCAUGGAGUAGGGGUGAAAUCCGUUGAUAUCAUGGGGAACACCGAAAGCGAAGGCAACACACUGGCGCACUCCUGACGCUGAAACACGAAAGCGUAGGUAGCGAAU